rnacentral:rRNA from 1 species
GACGAACGCUGGCGGUAUGCUUAACACAUGCAAGUCGAACGAGAAGCUUUUUAAUGAACCUUCGGGUGAUUUAAGAAGCAGACAGUGGCGAACGGGUGAGUAACGCGUGGGCAACCUGCCUUUCGGAGCGGAAUAGCCUCGGGAAACCGGGAGUAAAGCCGCAUAACAUUAUUUUUUCGCAUGAAGAAAUAAUCAAAACUCCGGUGCCGAAAGAUGGGCCCGCGUCCUAUUAGCUGGUUGGUGAGGCAACGGCUCACCAAGGCGACGAUAGGUAGCCGGUCUGAGAGGGCGAACGGCCACACUGGAACUGAGACACGGUCCAG